GCGGGAUUGCUCAAGGCGAGCACCCAGCCUUCCAAGCUGAUUAGAUCGGUUCGAUUCCGAUAUGCCGCUCCA
rnacentral:tRNA from 1 species